GUGUACAGAGCUCUAGGCAAAGCAAUGACAUCAAUGACGCAAAUGACCAAGUUGAUGCCGAUUCAGAGGGUCAUACAAUUGAAGGAGAACCAGUUGGUGACUUUGUUCCUGCGCCCCGAAAGGAAGUCCGCAAGAAAACCAUAGGGCUUGGCUUAGAGAAGAUGAUAAAGAGAGGAAACAAGCUGCCUAUCAAAGUGGCUGAAGGGAAGAAAAGACCUGAUGUCCCACUUCAAGCAGCGAAGCUGGCAUCAGAAACUGGUGUAGCUCUUAGAGACAAGCUGCCUAUCUACACAUCUUGGAAGCUUUAUGAAAAAGAUGGGGGGCCAGUAGAAGUACAAAAAGUGCUUGAUAAAGUGGCAAAUAGGUUGGAUGUGGAUGUUAAGAAUGAUGGACCAAGCAAAUCUGCAUGCACUGAUAUCAUUAGAAGGGAGUAAAGCAGCAG